AUGAACUUGUUUCUUGUUGCAGAGAUUGCAGAGUCGUGAGAGAUCCACAAACGCUCAAAUCCAAAGGAUAUGGAUUCGUUUCCUUUGUUAAAAAAGCGGAAGCGGAAAGUGCUAUCGGUGCCAUGAAUGGACAAUGGCUUGGUAGCAGGAGUAUUCGAACGAAUUGGGCGACUCGCAAACCCCCUGCGCCAAAAUCCGAGGCAAACGCGAAACCAUUGACUUUCGAUGAAGUGUACAAUCAAAGUAGUCCGACCAACUGCACGGUGUACUGCGGCGGACUCACCAAUGGUCUAACGGAAGAGCUAAUGCAAAAAACAUUUUCGCCUUUCGGAUCCAUCCAAGAGAUUCGCGUAUUCAAGGACAAGGGUUACGCUUUCAUCAGGUUUUCUACCAAAGAAUCGGCGACACACGCUAUUGUGGCGGUUCACAACACCGACAUCAAUGGUCAAACGGUGAAGUGUAGCUGGGGCAAGGAGAGCGGGGACCCGAACAAUGCUCAACAAACUGGACAGGCGUUAUCGUCGGCGACGUACCCAUACUACGCGGCGGCAGCAGCUGCCGCCGCGGCGGCGGCAGGCGUCGCGGGUGUCGGAGGCGUCGGUGGCGUCGGCGGUGCUGGCCAGCUAGGAUACUGGUACCCGCCCCAAUCUUAUCCCACCACAGCGACACAGAUGCAAGCCGGUGGUUUCCUUCAAGGGAUGCAGGGAUACACUUAUGGACAGUUCGCCGGCUAUCAACAGGCGCAAUACAUGGGAAUGGGAAUGGGUGUCCACGCUGCUGGCACGGCAGCAGGUUGGGGCCAGGGAUUACCUGGGGGACCACAGUUACCGCCACACCAUGCCACGACGGUCACGGCACCCCCAGGGGUGCAAGCCGCACCCCCACCACCACCACCUCCGGCACAAAUGAUGGCCUACCCGAUGCAACAGUUCCAGUAUGUAUUUGAAGAGAUAAGAGGGCCUAACGAUACAUAUUCGAGAUGAGGGAAUACUAAUGAAAAAGACUUAUAAACCCUAUCAAGAUCCUGCAUAAGAAUCUUUCAUCAGCAGUCGAGCAAAGAAGCGCCAAUACUUUAGCGAAGAAUCCCUGCUUUUAUCAUUGAUGUAGGAUUUGGCUUUCUUUUUCGUUCGAAUUCGAAUAACGCGAGCAAAGAGAGAGCGGUACAAACGCAGGAAAAAAAAAAAUAAUUCGAAAGUUUCGAAGGAAGAGAAAGAAAGAAGAACGGGCGGCAUGCACGGUUUUCUUUAUCCACGUAGAAAAGUAAACGAAGCGAAUGAAAGUCUAGUUUGAAUCUUUGCAAAGAGAAAAAAAAAAAGAAAAAAGGGAAAAGUCGUCAUUGCUUGAACGCAAUCAUCAUCUGUAAUUCUCGUGAAUCAGGGAAACUAGCAUAAGGGUAGGAAGGCAGCAGUCAAGCCAUUCGAGAAUACCGGAGAACCGUGAAAACAGUUCGGCACAGUUUAACACAAGAAUGUUUAACGGGGAAUAAAAAAGAAAAAUUUGUAAAAGAUGAAUAUGCACACAGCGGAGGAAAGCAAAAAGAAAAAAAAAAAAUAAAAUAAAAUAGGAGCCGUAAGCGUAGUCACCGAGCAUACCUUAAAAAAAAAAAAAAAAUAACAUAUGUAUAUGAUCAUAUAAAUAUAUAUAUAUAAUUAAAAAAAAAAAAAAAGACUACAAGAAACCAACACGCGCAUCUAUAUGUGUAUACAUACAUACGUCUCUACAUAUGUAUAUGUAUAUAUACACACACGUAUAACACAAGAAUAUGUAUAUUAUAUAUACAUACCAGAUAUAAAUGUGUAAGAAGAUAAUAUUAGCCGACAACUAGAGAUUAUAUCGAGUAUAAGCUUAGAAAAUGGAGAACAAGAGAAGCGGGCGGAAGUGGGGUGCGCGUCAUCCGUUAAACGCGUCACUCCCCGCGAUAUACUGUGUUAAAUACCCCUUAGCCGUAAGAAGAAAAAAAAAAAAAAAAAACUUCGAACGAUUGUACCCGUAUCUCGUGGAAAAGAUAGACACGAGAAAAAAAUGUUGUGGCUAGCCUGCCGGACCCCCUGAGCCCCUCAAAAUAUGAAUUAAAAAAAGGAAA